CCUACGGGGGGCAGCAGUGGGGAAUAUUGGACAAUGGGGGGAACCCUGAUCCAGCCAUGCCGCGUGUGUGAAGAAGGCCCUCGGGUUGUAAAGCACUUUCAGUGAGGAAGAACGCCUGGUGGUUAAUACCCAUCAGGAAAGACAUCACUCACAGAAGAAGCACCGUCUAACUCCGUGCCAGCAGCCGCGGUAAUACGGAGGGUGCGAGCGUUAAUCGGAAUUACUGGGCGUAAAGCGCGCGUAGGUGGCUUGAUAAGCCGGUUGUGAAAGCCCCGGGCUCAACCUGGGAACGGCAUCCGGAACUGUCAAGCUAGAGUGCAGGAGAGGAAGGUAGAAUUCCCGGUGUAGCGGUGAAAUGCGUAGAGAUCGGGAGGAAUACCAGUGGCGAAGGCGGCCUUCUGGACUGACACUGCCACCGAGGUGCGAAAGCGUGGGUAGCAAACAGGAUUAGAUACCCCGGUAGUC
rnacentral:rRNA from 1 species